rnacentral:rRNA from 1 species
AGAGUUUGAUCAUGGCUCAGAGCGAACGCUGGCGGCGUGCUUAACACAUGCAAGUCGAGUGCGCGUUUUCGUAGCAAUACGGAAAUGGCGCACGGCGCACGGGUGCGUAACACGUGGGUAAUCUGCCCUCUGAUGGGGAAUAACUCGCCGAAAGGCGAGCUAAUUCCGCAUAACAUUCCUUGGACUCCGGUCCGAGGAUUCAAAGGCGUAAGUCGUCGGAGGUGGAGCCCGCGCACGAUUAGCUAGUUGGUGAGGUAAUGGCUCACCAAGGCUAUGAUCGUUAGCUGGUCUGAGAGGAUGGCCAGCCACACUGGAACUGAGACACGGUCCAGACUCCUACGGGAGGCAGCAGUGGGGAAUCUUGCACAAUGGGCGAAAGCCUGAUGCAGCGACGCCGCGUGGGGGAUGAAGCUUCUCGGAGUGUAAACCCCUUUCGACCGGGACGAAUACCUCGCAAGAGGGGUGACGGUACCGGUAUAAGAAGCCCCGGCUAACUACGUGCCAGCAGCCGCGGUAAGACGUAGGGGGCCAGCGUUGCUCGGAAUUACUGGGUGUAAAGGGUUCGUAGGCGGUGUGGCAAGUCGGGAGUGAAAUCUCUGGGCUCAACCCAGGGGCUGCUUCCGAAACUGCCGUGCUAGAGUGUGGGAGAGGCGCGUGGAAUUGCAGGUGUAGCGGUGAAAUGCGUAGAUAUCUGCAGGAACACCCGUGGCGAAAGCGGCGCGCUGGACCACUACUGACGCUGAGGAACGAAAGCUAGGGGAGCAAACAGGAUUAGAUACCCUAGUAGUCC